rnacentral:rRNA from 1 species
CCAAGAAAAGCUAGUAAUGUGAUGAAGAUAUCUUACCCGUACCCGAAACCGACACAGGUGGGUAGGUAGAGUAUACUAAGGGGCGCGAGAUAACUCUCUCUAAGGAACUCGGCAAAAUGACUCCGUAACUUCGGGAGAAGGAGUGCCUUAUUUAUAAGGUUGCAAUAACAAGAUCCAAGCAACUGUUUAUCAAAAACACAGGUCUCCGCUAAGUCGUAAGACGAUGUAUGGGGGCUGACGCCUGCCCAGUGCCAGAAGGUUAAAGAAGUUGGUUAGUGUAUGCGAAGCUGAUGACUGAAGCCCUGGUGAACGGCGGCCGUAACGAUAACGGUCCUAAGGUAGCGAAAUUCCUUGUCGGGUAAGUUCCGACCCGCACGAAAGGCGUAAUGAUUUGGAUACUGUCUCGGAGAGAGGCUCGGUGAAAUAGACUUGUCUGUGAAGAUGCGGACUACCUGCACCAGGACAGAAAGACCCUAUGAAGCUUUACUGUAACUUGAAAUUGGAAUUGGACUUUGCUUGCGCAGUAUAGGUGGGAAGCGUUGAAGAUAUUCUUGCGGGAGUAUUGGAGCUAUCAGUGAGAUACCACUCUUGUAAUGUUAGAUUUCUAACUUUGAACCAUAAUCUGGUCAAAGAACAGUUUCAGGUGGGCAGUUUGACUGGGGCGGUCGCCUCCCAAAUGGUAACGGAGGCGUACAAAGGUUUCCUCUGAACGGAUAGAAAUCGUAUCUAGAGUGUAAAGGCAUAAGGAAGCUUGACUGUGAGACCUACAAGUCGAGCAGGGACGAAAGUCGGUCUUAGUGAUCUGACGGUACUGAGUGGAAAGGCCGUCACUCAAGGGAUAAAAGUUACUCUAGGGAUAACAGGCUGAUCUCCCCCAAGAGUUCACAUCGACGGGGAGGUUUGGCACCUCGAUGUCGGCUCAUCGCAUCCUGGGGCGGUAGUACGUCCCAAGGGUUGGGCUGUUCGCCCAUGAAAGCGGUACGCGAGCUGGGUUCAGAACGUCGUGAGACAGUUCGGUCCAUAUCCGGUGUAGGCGUUAGAAUAUUGAGAGGAGCCUUCUUUAGUACGAGAGGACCGAGAAGGACACACCGCUGGUGUACCAGUUAUCGUGCCAACGGUAAACGCUGGGUAGCUAUGUGUGGAGUGGAUAACCGCUGAAAGCAUCUAAGUGGGAAGCCCACCUCAAGAUGAGUAUUCUCAUC